UAGGGAAUCUUCCACAAUGGACGCAAGUCUGAUGGAGCAACGCCGCGUGAGUGAAGAAGGGUUUCGGCUCGUAAAGCUCUGUCGUUAAAGAAGAACGUGGGUAAGAGUAACUGUUUACCCAGUGACGGUAUUUAACCAGAAAGCCACGGCUAACUACGUGCCACCAG
rnacentral:rRNA from 1 species